CAGGUUGGACUGGCUUUGUUUAGACAGACUGUGACAUUCGAAGGGCGUGUCGGAGCUGAACAAGGUGUGCUUUUCCACUCAGGCUGUGAGUUAUGAGGGUGAGACGGCGUCCUCACAUCAAGCAGAGACAGACAGAAGGACUGAGGAGGGACGGAGAGCAGCUUCUUCUCUCCAAAAGUGUCUGAAGAAGAUGUGAAGAGAGUUGAUCAGGAUGAGUCAACAGAAAACUUCAGACCCUCCUGGUCCUGGAUCAGGAGCAGCAGCUGGACUUGAACCUGAACCUGGACCUGGACCUGGACCUGGACCUGGACCUGAACCUGGACCUGAACCUGAACCUGGACCUGGACCUGGACCCAGCCUUCCCUCCACAAAGAGCGUUUGGUCUCCCACGGGGCAGGACAGGAUGAAUCCAGGAUCUGAACCCAGCAGUGUGUCCAUGAGGAGUGACCGGUCCAAAGGCAAAUACGUUAAUUUCAGAGGAUCUCCUUCCUCAGAGUCUCACUCUGACUCUGGGUUUCCAUCCAGCCGAGUGUCCAUGAAGAGUGACGGGUCUAUGGAUAAACCCAUUGACUUUAAAUCAGGACCAAGACCUGCUGAUGAGGGGUGAGAAUCAGUGUUUGUGUCAGGAUUCAUCAUCAGAGCUCACAGCAGCUUGAACAAAGUCAACAUGUUUCUGCAGCGUCAGC
ensembl:lncRNA